CAGUAGCCGCGGUAAUACGAAGGGGGCUAGCGUUGCUCGGAAUGACUGGGCGUAAAGGGCGCGUAGGCGGUUCGGAUAGUUAGAUGUGAAAUUCCCGGGCUUAACCUGGGGACUGCAUUGAUACUUCCGGGCUUGAGUGUGGAAGAGGGUCGUGGAAUUCCCAGUGUAGAGGUGAAAUUCGUAGAUAUUGGGAAGAACACCGGUGGCGAAGGCGGCGACCUGGUCCAUAACUGACGCUGAGGCGCGAAAGCGUGGGGAGCAAACAGGAUUAGAUACCCGAGUAGUCCCUGUCUCUUAUACA
rnacentral:rRNA from 1 species